rnacentral:rRNA from 1 species
UACGUAGGGCGCAAGCGUUGUCCGGAAUUAUUGGGCGUAAAGAGCUCGUAGGCGGUCUGUCACGUCUGCCGUGAAAACCCGAGGCUUAACCUCGUGGCUUGCGGUGGAUACGGGCAGACUAGAGGUAGGUAGGGGAGAACGGAAUUCCCGGUGUAGCGGUGAAAUGCGCAGAUAUCGGGAGGAACACCGAUUGCGAAGGCAGCUCGCUGGAACGUUACUGACGCUGAGACGCGAAAGCGUGGGGAGCAAACAGG